AUUGAACGCUGGCGGCAUGCUUUACACAUGCAAGUCGAACGGUAACAGGUUAAGCUGACGAGUGGCGAACGGGUGAGUAAUGCAUCGGAACGUGCCCGAUCGUGGGGGAUAACGCAGCGAAAGCUGCGCUAAUACCGCAUACGAUCUGAGGAUGAAAGCGGGGGACCGUAAGGCCUCGCGCGAUCGGAGCGGCCGAUGUCAGAUUAGGUAGUUGGUGGGGUAAAGGCCCACCAAGCCGACGAUCUGUAGCUGGUCUGAGAGGACGACCAGCCCAACUGGGACUGACACACGGCCCGGACUCCUACGGGAGGCAGCAAUGGGGAAUUUUGGACAAUGGGCGAAAGCCUGUUCCAGCAAUGCCGCGUGCAGGAAGAAGGCCUUCGGGUUGUAAACUGCUUUUGUACGGAGCGAAAAGGUCCUUUCUAAUACAAGGGGCUCAUGACGGUACCGUAAGAAUAAGCACCGGCUAACUACGUGCCAGCCGCCGCAGUAA
rnacentral:rRNA from 1 species